UUUUCCCACAUUUCCCAUCCAUUCCUCAAAUACUUAAACUGUUUGAGAAUUAAAUCGAUGUAAAAAUUAAAUUGUAACAUUAAGCUCAAAAUUAACAAACUGAUUUCUCUGAAUAUGAAUUAAAAGUAAAGGAAAUAUUUAUAUUAUCUAAAUUUACUCUUUUGAGCCGUAGCUUAAUCAGCGAAUUAACUUUAAUUUCUAAUUAACUUUAAUUAAACGCAAAUUUCAGAAUAGGCAGUACCGUCAAUGCGCACAAAACAUUGCCUUAAAUACUAAUUUUCCUUUGAGUUCAUGAUUUCGUUGAUGAUAAAACAUUUUAUUAGUCAAAUUAAUAAUCAUUGCCAUGACAAAAUAAAUAUCAUGUCAAUCCACCUGGCCUUCAUGUCUAAAGGAAACUAAAAAAUGAAAAGCAGCUUUCACAAUUAAAUAAGAAUGCCAUGGUACCACUACAACAAGUUAGAGCAAAAAAGGUCAAAAUACUUGUAUGUAUUUGCUGAUAAGCAACAAAAUGUACUAGUUGCCGUUGUGCUUUUUCAUCUACAUAUGUCUGCUCAUCCCUGUCCCCAUAAUAAACGCCAACUCCAACAGAGUACUGUAUUUAAGGCAAAAGAAGAAAUGUGUGACUUCAGUACAUUUGUCUGCCUAGCAAGGCGUCAAACAUUACAUUUGACCGAGAGCUUUGCAUGACGUUCAUUUUAUUUUCAGAGCCACCCGAUGAUCCCCCACUACUUCCGCGGAUGAAAGUACAGGUGUUUAAUAGUAAGAAAUUGGGAUAGAUGGGAAGCGAAAUCGGAGGAAAGAAACGAUUAAAAAAAAAAUAAAAACAAAAAUUCCGAAAAGGUAAAAAAUGUGGGCAUGACAAAAAAAAUCGAAUUAAAGUCAAAUUAAAAGUGAGCUGGACAUUUUGCUAUGAAGCUAAACCAAUCACUUUAAGUAUGUGUGGAAAGAGGGAGUAUAUACAGAUACCUAAGGCAGGUAAGAGUGGUGAAUUCACGAACUCAUACACAAACACUACAAAAUCAUGUUCUCACACACACGCACACAGUAACCUGCAAGAUACAUUGAUAAUGAGAGCUGAAGUAGACAUUUCCUAGUUAGGAAAAUAGCUAACAAUGAAUUAAGACUCAAAUAAAGAGCAGCAGGUACAAGCGGGCAUAAAGAACACAAUUGGAGACAUGAAAACGAACGAUGGAUAGAAUAUAUGUAUAAGGCUAAAGCAGAAGAAAAGCAGCAAAAAUGAUAACAGACAGCACGAAAGCCGACUAGAAGCGAUAUAUUUGCAUAUAAAUCUUUAAUACAAAACAUAUACAAGCAAAUACAUCUAUACAAAAACAAAAUCGUGCGCAUAUAAUCAUACGUUUACAUAACUACAUAUCGCUCAUUUACUUCAACAGUGUCAUAACUCAAAAAACUGAUUUUUUGAGUUAAAUACAAAAAAAUGUGCUCAAUAUCAUGGUUAAUAUUGUAUAAAAAAUUCUCUGUGAUUAGUAGAAAAUUGAGCGCGUGAGAUGAAAAAGUGCCGUUAUUCCACUUGUUGUGACGCGUCAAAUUUUUGCUACAGCAUCGACACAUUUCAAUUAACAUGAGUCGUCGUCGUGUAAAGAUUAUUAGUUUUUCCGCAAAACGAUAUAUUUUGUGUUACACGAUUUAUGUGAAAAGCUUACUUAGAAAUGUUGUUAUCCAAAAAUAAUUGCGGAUCUUCUUCAUCGUUGUUCUCAGAAGAUAGUAACAAUUCCAUAGUUGAUGUGACAUACUUCCCAAUUUCUGCUAACGAUUGCAGUGAUAGUGUCUACGGCAAUGAUGAAGAUAACCCACCACAUCCGACCGCGGUAAACAGCCUAAUUUAUGAUAACUGCUUCGAGGAAGAUUCUCCAGAUCUAGAAUUAUGUACGCCAGUACCUGAACAAAACUCCUUUGAUCUACAACCAAGCACAUCAACUUCAAACAUAAACAAUUCUUCCACCAUUCUGGUUAGUCCGGCGAUGAAAGGAAAAAAAAAGAGGAAACAGCCAGAAAAUUGGAAGAAAAAUAU